CUUUUCUCAUGGGGCGGUUAUGAGAGUCGGAGACCUCAUGUAUAAAGAGAUUUUAGCCUAGGAUCAUGCAAACAGUAGGUGCCUGAUAUGCAGCAACUCUGCUUCCCCAUCUGCACUGCCAAGUGCAAGAGGCAGUUGCCCACAGGCCCAUCUCCGUGCCGGGUGUAGUAGGUGCUGUCUGAGUCCCACCAAUCCUCUGACUUCGUGGCUUCCAUCUGCCAGAACCUGUGUGUCUUUGCCUGGGGCUUUCUCUGGCUGCUGGUAUCCACUGUGGUACCAGGGCCAUAAAUCUCUGUAAAUUGGGGAUGAUAAUAAUGCCUACCUCAUGGCACUGUUGGGAGGCCUUGUUAGUACCCUGCGUAGAAGGGGGCCUCAGAUGUUGGGGUGCUGUUGGGGUGCUGUCUCUGUAACUCGCCUACCCACAGGAGUAGCCGUAUCAGGAAUACUGGGCAGUAGAUGAAAGACGUGGGCCUGGCUCACAUGGUGGCUCUCUGCUCUGCCACCCAGGCCGGCACCUGAGACGCCUGAAUUGAUGUCAUAGGAUGUAAGAGGACACCAGGAGCCUGGGGCUGCCAGUAACCCUGGCACCUUGGCAGGGCAGUGAGUUCUUCAUAGCCUCUGAGAACCUGGACCAUCUCAAGCUGGGGACCUGGAGGUGACUCAGCCCCUCAGCCUGCAGCCUGCAGGGCCAGAGGGACCUGCACUUUCCUGGGUGGGUGGGUGAGGGGCAUAGACCUUGUCCAAAGUCACUGUCAUCAGGACCCCACUCUUUCUUGUGGUUGCUUCCUGGGGGUUUCUCUGCCCUUUAUCUUCAUGUUCUGUGUGGGGCUAAUCUGGCCCUUGGAUGCAGUAGGCAUUUAUCUAUGUGACUUGAUGUAAGGGGCUCCAAAAAUGCCCCCCGCCCAACCAGCCUAAAUAUCUCCCUGCCAGACUGUCAUACUGUCUGUGCAUGAAACCCCUGGCUUCAGCAUUGCCCUCUCCCAUUUCCUCGUAUUGAAAUAGGUGGCAAGCUGCAGUCAGGACUGGCAAAGAGCCCUGUGCAAAAUGAAAAUGGAGGGCUCCUCGUCCAAAAGUUAGGAAGAAUUUCAAGGCAACAACAGAAGAGAAUUCAACUAAGCACGGGGCCCUGCACUGCUGCACAGGCUGUGCACUCUUGAAGCCAGCUCUGCCUGCAGCCUGAGCUCUUAGCGAGACAGGAUCACCUCCUUUCCUUGCACCAGUGAGGAGCCCUGGAGCUGCCCAGAUCAAGGACACAAAGACAAAACGAGCCUCUUUACUCAGCUCAGGACAAUUGUUGUUUUCGGAGAUGGGUGAAGCUCAGGGCCCUCUGUCCAGCUGGCCUAACUUCAGGGCCUCCUGAAAUUCCUCUGGGUUCUCCAGGCCCCUGGAGUCCUGGCAGUUGAUGGGGCAUUUUCUGCCUAUGGCCUGGCUGGCCCUGAGCUUGUCCUUACUCUAUUGCAGUGUUUGCCUUGCCUGCUGAGGGACUCGCUCUGGCAUGUGGGCCUGAUCCUGAGGGGUCCUUUUCCUGUUUCCUGAACAACCACCAGAUCUUUGGAUUUAGCUCCUAGCAGCCCCAGGAGCACCCCCAGACAGACUUCCCGUGCUUGGGGCUGUUCUAGGCUCUCCAGAUCCACUGUCUUCUCCAUCGCCCUGUGCCCCACAAGGCUGAGCUGGGUGGCUGCCUCUGUGGGCUACCUGUGCUUUUGCUUCUGGUUGGGUAUGACCAAUGGAAGAGAGGGAGGAGUGAGAGAGGUGGGCAUUUACCCGCCAGCUCCCUCCUGGGGCUGCUGUAGCCUGGCUGUGUCCCUGCCCCAGGUGCCAGCUGCUUGUCAGGCAGCUCUCCCCGCUCAGCCCUUUCUGCCUCUGGGUUCUAACCCUCCCCGCUAGCAGCUCCCUCCCCUUGGACUGCCAGGCCUUGGGUGGUCACAGAUUCCAGCUGUCACUACUGUUCCCUCCCUUGAGAUCUCCCAAUACCCUGACCAUCCUUUGUGAAUGGUUCCUUUAUUAAACUCUCCCAGAAUUAUCCGAAUUUGAAUUUGUAACUAUUUCCUUCCGGGUCCCUGACUGGUAGAAAGAUCUUUGCUCUAUGUUGUACCCCUGAUCUAUCUUUGUAGCCCUCAAUCCCUUGGGACAGCCAGGUCAGGGACCAGAUGUCCAGGAACUCAGGCCAGAGCCCACUCCCAAUCUCCUUGGAGAACACCACAGAAGAAGUGGGGACCCUCCCCCAGGCCCCCCAAACACACCCACCGGGUACUCCAUCCUCAGGGAAUUGGGCACCAG
rnacentral:lncRNA from 10 species